rnacentral:ribozyme from 1 species
AGGGUUUUGUAGGGGGCUAUAGCAGAAGUGUUCACAUAAUGACCACUGUCAUAUUCCAACAAAUAUGCAAAUUCUGCU